UGGCGGCAGGCCUAACACAUGCAAGUCGAGCGGUAACAGAAAGUAGCUUGCUACUUUGCUGACGAGCGGCGGACGGGUGAGUAAUGCUUGGGAACAUGCCUUAAGGUGGGGGACAACAGUUGGAAACGACUGCUAAUACCGCAUAACGUCUACGGACCAAAGGGGGCUUCGGCUCUCGCCUUUAGAUUGGCCCAAGUGGGAUUAGCUAGUUGGUGAGGUAAUGGCUCACCAAGGCAACGAUCCCUAGCUGGUUUGAGAGGAUGAUCAGCCACACUGGAACUGAGACACGGUCCAGACUCCUACGGGAGGCAGCAGUGGGGAAUAUUGCACAAUGGGCGAAAGCCUGAUGCAGCCAUGCCGCGUGUGUGAAGAAGGCCUUCGGGUUGUAAAGCACUUUCAGUCAGGAGGAAAGGUUAACGGUUAAUACCCGUUAGCUGUGACGUUACUGACAGAAGAAGCACCGGCUAACUCCGUGCCAGCAGCCCGCGGUAAUACGGAGGGUGCGAGCGUUAAUCGGAAUUACUGGGCGUAAAGCGUACGCAGGCGGUUUGUUAAGNCGAGAUGUGAAAGCCCCGGGCUCAACCUGGGAACUGCAUUUCNAACUGGCAAACUAGAGUGUGAUAGAGGGUGGUAG
rnacentral:rRNA from 1 species